rnacentral:tRNA from 16 species
GGGAGAGGUUGGCCGGCUGGUGCCGCCCCGGGACUUCAAAUCCCGUGGGAGGUCCCGCAAGGGAGCUCCGGAGGGUUCGAUUCCCUCCCUCUCCC